GCUGACGCGGCAUGCCUCAAUGAUCAGAAAACUUAUUUAUCUAUUUUCUCAAAUUUCCACCCAAUAAACUCAAUUAUUAAUUAAUUAAUUAAAAUUAAAUAAAAAAAAUAUGUUCAGUUAUAACUUUGCAACAAGGAAUCCCAAAAGCCGCCUCUUUCAAUAUUCUUUAGAACCUUUUCGGGCCAAAAUUUCCACGGCUUCAGUUACAGAGAACAAAUCGCCACUCUACAAUCAAUCACCAAAGUAAAAGAAUCGACCCCCCGCUACCGUCGUGAUGAAUACCGAGAACGUUCAUAUUUUUUUGAUUCAGGUUCAGAAGGAGGAAAACGUGGGUUCACCAUGAUAUGAGUGCGCCUUUGUCACAUUACUUCACAUAUACAGGCGAUAAUCUUAUUUAACCGGGAGUCAAUUGAGUAAUAAUUGCAGUGAUAUCCCCAUAAUACAUGCCUGUGUAAGAGUAAUUGAAUUGGAUAUGUUGUCGAAUCCAGCCAAAGAUGAUGUGGAAGUACUGCAUGGAAGAUGAGAAGUUUAAUCCCCUCCUACCCAGGCAAUUCUCAAGACAAAGGCAAAUUGGAGCUACCACAAUUACUUGACAACUCCAAGGAUGAUCAUUUGAUUGUUGUACAACUAUUCUGUUUUGGCACUCUGAUUUUCAUGAGGUAAUACUCUACCAAUAUAACCUGUAUCAUGAAUUUGUUAAUCACAUGUCAUUUGUAAGUUCAGUAUCAAACUUAUUUUUACACUGAUAUAGGUUUGUGAACUAAUUACAACCAUUCCUUGUAAUAAUAUUUUCCCGAAAUGGAGGCUUUGCUUGAUUUUUGAUUGGCAAAACACUUACACCUUUUAUCUUUGUUAAUUUGGUAUUAAAUUGGCGUCGAAUCACGGAAGAAGGAUAGAGAAUAUAUUGAACUUACACUUCUGUGUUAAGACUUUUCCAGUUGAAGUGAUGUGGCUCCUCUCAUACAGUAGGAAACCUAUUUAUCUCUUCUUCUUUUUUUGGCUUUUUAUCUUCAUUUUUAUCAUUUGGUGCUCUUUUACAAUUCUAUUGCGUAACUUAGAAAAUCCGUGGUGUGAUGAUUAGUCUCGAGAUGUUGCUAAGGCUGAAAACAAGAAAUUAUUUGUGACCAACAUAUUUCAAUGGUACAAGAUGGUCAACAAAUUAUAUAAAGGAAAAACGUGAGUUUCUCCUCAAUAUUUUUUCUUUUUUGGCUGCUAAAUCUAUUAAUAUCUAUACUAGCGAAAUAUUGUUAUUUGCCGUGAAAUAUUCAAUUGUUUCAUCUUUUUAAUGGACGGAUACUUAUUCUAUAAUUUGGCAUCUGUCUAUCUUAUAUUCACGAUCUAUUGUAUGAAUAUGAUGCCAAUUAAAUUUAAAAGCGGCAUAGGUAAUCACCAAUGUUCACGAUCAUUGUAUAUGGUGCUUAAUAAGUUUAUAACUUCACAUUUGUUUGAAUUUUAAUGUCUAGUUAUUUUACCAAAAGUUAGAGAUUAUUAGCAAAUUUUAAGAACAUUGUGAUGAUAGCUACAAAAUAUUUAUACUAAUAUGUUCUAUAGGUUGUCGGAAUGACUCUCAUGUACCUAAAUCUAAUAAAGGUAUGCUCUCGUUCUAUAUAUAUUUUGCAGAAUCUUCUGGUUUGUGGAAAGUGAUGGCUACGCUGAUGAUUAUUUGGUGGAUUUUCUAUCCACAAUGAAAUGAUUUGUGUCCAAAGUUCACCUUAAGGACCGAUGAAAUGGUUAUUUGCGUCCCCUAAGAUAGCCCACGUAACAGUACUUUUAGCAGUAACAUUAAUUUAGUUUAGUGUAUAGUCUCUAACUCUGCUUCCUGCAGUCACUAACUCUCCUUCCUGCCUCUUUGCUUUCCCUGUUAUUACUUUUUCUUUUGAUGCCUUUUAAAAUUCCAUGCGUGAGGGGUUUGUAUCACCGUGUCAUUUGAAAGAGUGUAUGCAUCAUUAAGGAAUUGUUCUGGGCACACUGCCCAUAUUUGAUUUGUUUCUGAUUCAGGAGGCUUAUUAUCACAAA